UACGAGGGGGGCCAGCGUUGUUCGGAAUUAUUGGGCGUAAAGGGCGCGUAGGCGGUUUGACAAGUCUGAUGUGAAAUCUAUGGGCUCAACCCAUAGCCUGCAUUAGAAACUGUCGGGCUUGAGUAUGGGAGAGGUGAGUGGAAUUUCCGGUGUAGCGGUGAAAUGCGUAGAUAUCGGAAGGAACACCUGUGGCGAAAGCGGCUCACUGGACCAUAACUGACGCUGAGGCGCGAAAGCUAGGGGAGCAAACAGG
rnacentral:rRNA from 1 species